GGAGAGAUGCCGGAGUGGUCGAACGGGGCGGUCUCGAAAACCGUUGUGCGUUUAGGCGUACCGUGGGUUCGAAUCCCACUCUCUCCGCCA
rnacentral:tRNA from 1 species